GUGAAGGAGAGGACAAAUUUUGAAGAUAAUUUAGAUUAAUUAUUGGUUGAGCAAAGGAUUAACCUUAUGGUAAUCCUUUCUAUUGCUUUGGCGAGAGGUGAUAGUUCAGGUGAUGGCCCAUCAGGGAAUGCUCCGGAGGCAUAGUGUGAUGUUAUAGCUUAUAUAGCCUCCUUGCUUUUGUUCUAUGUGCUGAUUUAUUAU